UGGCUCAGAACGAACGCUGGCGGCAGGCUUAACACAUGCAAGUCGAGCGGGCGUAGCAAUACGUCAGCGGCAGACGGGUGAGUAACGCGUGGGAACGUACCUUUUGGUUCGGAACAACACAGGGAAACUUGUGCUAAUACCGGAUAAGCCCUUACGGGGAAAGAUUUAUCGCCGAAAGAUCGGCCCGCGUCUGAUUAGCUAGUUGGUGAGGUAAUGGCUCACCAAGGCGACGAUAAGUAGCUGGUCUGAGAGGAUGAUCAGCCACAUUGGGACUUUUUCUCGGCCCAAAGGACUACGGGAGGCAGC
rnacentral:rRNA from 2 species